UAGUUAUUAAUUUAAUAAAAAAUAUUAAUUUUGUAAAUUAAAAAUAAAUUUAUAUUUAUAACUAA
rnacentral:tRNA from 1 species